GACGAACGCUGGCGGCGUGCUUAACACAUGCAAGUCGAACGGUGAAGCGCCUUCCUUUUUGGUGGGUGUGGAUGAGUGGCGAACGGGUGAGUAACACGUGAGUAACCUGCCCCCUUCUUCUGGAUAACCGCAUGAAAGUGUGGCUAAUACGGGAUAUUCUGGGUCUGUCGCAUGAUGGGUCUGGGAAAGAUAUUGUUUCGGUGGGGGAUGGGCUCGCGGCCUAUCAGCUUGUUGGUGGGGUGAUGGCCUACCAAGGCGGUGACGGGUAGCCGGCCUGAGAGGGUGGACGGUCACACUGGGACUGAGACACGGCCCAGACUCCGACGGGGGGCAGCAGUGGGGAAUAUUGCACAAUGGGCGCAAGCCUGAUGCAGCGACGCCGCGUGAGGGAUGGAGGCCUUCGGGUUGUGAACCUCUUUCGCCAGUGAAGCAGGCCUGCCUCGUUUGUGGGUGGGUUGACGGUAGCUGGAUAAGAAGCGCCGGCUAACUACGUG
rnacentral:rRNA from 1 species